GAUAAGAACGUAGUGAAAUGCGAUACGUAGUGUGAAUUGCAGAAUUCAGUGAAUCAUCGAAUCUUUGAACGCACAUUGCACCUCUCGGUAUUCCGGGAGGUAUGCCUGUUCGAGCGUCAUUUGUACCCUCAAGCUCUGCUUGGUGUUGGGUGUUUGUUCCGCCUCUGUGUGUGAACUCGCCUCAAAACAAUUGGCAGCCGGCGUACUUGUUUCGGAGCGCAGCACAUUUUGCGAUCCAGAUCAACGUACAGCGGCAUCCAAGAAGCCUUAUUUAACGCUCUUGACCUCGGAUCAGGUAGGGAUACCCGCUGAACUUAAGCAUAUCAAUAAGCGGAGGA
rnacentral:misc_RNA from 1 species